AUAUCAGUAAGCGGAGGAAAAGAAACUAACAAGGAUUCCCUUAGUAACGGCGAGUGAAGCGGGAAGAGCUCAAAUUUAAAAUCUGGUGCUUCACGGCAUCCGAAUUGUAAUUGAGAGGGUCUUCAUUUGUGAAGAGUCAUGGUCAAAGUUCUCUGGAAAGGGACAACAAAGAGGGUGAUACUCCCGUCUUUGCCCAGGUUGUCUAUGUGUACGAUACGUUUUCUUUGAGUCGAGUUGUUUGGGAAUGCAGCUCAAAGUAGGUGGUAAAUUCCAUCUAAAGCUAAAUAUUGGUGCGAGACCGAUAGCGCACAAGUA
rnacentral:rRNA from 1 species